GACCAAAGGGAGCUUGCUCCAGAGGUUAGCGGCGGACGGGUGAGUAACACGUGGGCAACCUGCCCUGUAGACUGGGAUAACAUCGAGAAAUCGGUGCUAAUACCGGAUAAUCAAAGGAAUCACAUGGUUCUUUUGUAAAAGAUGGCUCCGGCUAUCACUACGGGAUGGGCCCGCGGCGCAUUAGCUAGUUGGUAAGGUAAUGGCUUACCAAGGCGACGAUGCGUAGCCGACCUGAGAGGGUGAUCGGCCACACUGGGACUGAGACACGGCCCAG
rnacentral:rRNA from 1 species